GAACAGAUUGAUGGACUUGGAGCAAAUGGAGUUGGUGGUUGCACAAGGGAUGUUCUCUGUAACCAGACGGAAGGAGGGACUGGGGUUCGUAUCGCAAUAAUCCUAAAGGGGUUACACACAUCAGAGAUAUUCCAGUCAAACAUACAUGGGCUAUGGUGUGUUCACAGUCUCCGUGGAAGGAAUAUCUUCUGCCAUCAAAAGUCCUGAAAUGACCUUCACCAUAGAUGGUACAGGUGAAUAGAGGACUCCAUUAUGGGUACAUGGACAUUUGUCCCUCUUCACACACCCACCUUUUCCAUCAGCCAGAAGGUCAUCUGGACACAUACACCCUGAUAUACACCCCAUGCUCACCUAAUGCCAAGACAAAAGCGUUGACAAAGGAUGUUGGUGUGCCCUCUAUGAUGCCCGAUGUUGUUUUAAAGUCAUCUGAUUGGAUGUCGUUAUAGUUCCCACACAGACCUGAGAGAAGCAAGUGCUGGCUACAAUAUACAACUGCAUGACUGGAGCCAACUGGAUCUCUAGACGAAGACUCUUCAUAUCAGCAAUGAUGAAAGAGGAAGAGGGCUGGAAGAUGCUCACAGAACCUGGGACAAUGAAAUUAUUGAAAAAGGAAAUUCAAUAUUUUUUUAGUAUUGAUAAAAAAGUAAAUUUCUUAUAUUUGACAACAAACCUGUGGUGAAAGGAAGCAUGUAUGGACUGAUUUUAUUCACUGUCACAGAUCCACCAGAGGAAAAAGUAAUCUGUUUAAUGAGUAAAACAUCAACAAAAAGGCACUACUAUUAAUAUGAUUCUCAUAGUAGUAGUAGUAGUAGUAGCAGCAGCACCAGUAUAAGUAUUAUUAUUAGUAAAAAUUAUUAAAGAAUAAAAUUAUUCAAACCCAUUGCUUACAGUGGUCCCUGAGAUGACGAGGGUAAUUGAAUUUAGACAUGUGUCUUUUCGGGCCGGAUCACACUUUGCCAGAUUUCCCACAACCGCAAUGUCGCUGUCAUUAGAGUGCUUUAAUUUUUAAAAAAGAAAGGAAAAAUGAUUGUAGGAACCUUUAUAAUACCCACAGUUUUCUGAUUGUAAUAUAAACCAUGUGAAUAAACAUAUAAGUGAGGCUUUCAUUUAUCUCGCCCUGACAGAAAACAUCUGGAUCAUCUGAUGUACUGACAGACCUUAGUGAGGAUGUAGUCACAGUUGCCGCUGAAAGUGAAGGUCUUUCCAUCAUAAGUGGUGACAUGAGACCCUCCCACAACAGAGCAGAUUCCGGGACAUUCCAGCCCCACCAGUAGGACGACCCAUCUCAGCAUCCAUAUCUGGGACAUCCUCACAGUCCCCAUGGAGAAAACAACCAUCUUCAAGAGCUAAUGAUGUUAAUUGAUGGACUGGAGUCGUGUGGAUUAUGAAAGUGACAAAACAAAAAAAAG